rnacentral:rRNA from 1 species
GAUGAACGCUGGCGGCGUGCCUAAUACAUGCAAGUCGAGCGAACAGACGAGGAGCUUGCUCCUCUGACGUUAGCGGCGGACGGGUGAGUAACACGUGGAUAACCUACCUAUAAGACUGGGAUAACUUCGGGAAACCGGAGCUAAUACCGGAGAAGAUAUUGAACCGCAGGGUUCAAUAGUGAAAGACGGUUUUGCUGUCACGUAUAGAUGGAUCUGGGCCGCAUUAGCUAGUUGGUAAGGUAAAGGGUUACCAAGGCUACCAUGCGUAGCCGACCUGAGAGGGGGAUAGGCCACACUGGAACUGAGACACGGUCCAGACUCCUACGGGAGGCAGCAGUAGGGAAUCUUCCGCAAUGGGCGAAAGCCUGACGGAGCAACGCCGCGUGAGUGAUGAAGGUCUUCGGAUCGUAAAACUCUGUUAUUAGGGAAGAACAAAUGUGUAAGUAAAUAUGCACGUCUUGACGGUACCUAAUCAGAAAGCCACGGCUAACUACGUG